rnacentral:rRNA from 1 species
AGCUUGCUAGUUUGUCAGCUAAGUGGCGCACGGGUGAGUAAUAUAUAGUUAAUCUGCCCCAAAGAAGAGAAUAAUUGUUGGAAACGACUUGUAAUGCUCUAUAUGCCUUUAAGACAUAAAUCUGCAAGGGAAAUAUUUAUAGCUUUGGGAUGAGACUGUACGGUAUCAGUUUGUUGGUGAGGUAAUGGCUCACCAAGACUAUGACGCCUAACUGGUUUGAGAGGAUGAUCAGUCACACUGGAACUGAGACACGGUCCAGACUCCUACGGGAGGCAGCAGUGGGGAAUAUUGCACAAUGGACGAAAGUCUGAUGCAGCAACGCCGCGUGGAGGAUGACACAUUUCGGUGCGUAAACUCCUUUUAUAUGAGAAGAUAAUGACGGUAUCAUAUGAAUAAGCACCGGCUAACUUCGUGCCAGCAGCCGCGGUAAUACGAGGGGUGCAAGCGUUACUCGGAAUCACUGGCCGUCG